CCAUAGAACAUUUUUCUCUCUAACUUGUCUCUUUUCUCUACUUAACAUAUAAGUAAUUGAUGACAAUGAAAAUGAAAACCCACUAAGAGAAGAGAGAACAGAGAAAAUUCAAUGCACAAACUUGAGAGUCCAUAGAUCAACAACACACAUGUCAAUGGCAGAGCAGCUCAACGUUGAUUGCAUGGCUUGCAUGCGAGUGUCAAUCGAUUCUUGUUCUUGCUGAUGGAACAAGAUCACACACAGACAAAUCAGGGAGUAAAAAAAAAGUCAGCCAUGGAAGCUAAAGAAAUUUAGGAGACUUUUCCAUUCUCUGAGUUUCGGUGGAAUUUAUCUAAUUUGGUCAUUAUGCUGAGGAAUAGAUAUAGAGCAGUGACGACCAAGCAAGCUCUAAUGGCAGACCAGAGCUCUCUAGCUUCUCUCUCCCCAAAUCACACUAUACCCAUUUCUUCUUUCUUUGGUUCUCCAAGGUUUUUCAAUGGGUUUCAAGCAAUGGGUCACUCUGAAACUGAAACAAUGAGUCCUAUUCCUAGUUCAAUUCAUGACAUCAAACCAUUCUCCCCUGUUGGCAACCAAUUCCCCCAACAAUUUCUUAGGAAACAAACACUCCUGGGAAAAAUUAAACCUGAAAGGCAUUGGUCUUUCAUAGUACUUGUAUGUAUAAUUAGUUUGAAUUACAUCUUUUCUGCCGAUUUGUUUUGUAAUAACUUUCAACUUACCAUUAGGCGCUGGUUUAAUUUUAUUUCAUCUUGGAUUUGAAAUA